AUCCAACAGCCCACCAAUAGCCCUGAUUUGAAUGGGCUUGACCUUGGGUUCUUCAACUCGUUACAAUCUUUGACAUAUUUUUUAAGCCCUAGAACGCUUCAGGAUCUUAUCAAGGGUGUGCUUGAUGAAUUUGAAAACUAUGAGGUUUACAAGCUGAACAGAGUUUUCCUAUCUCUACAAGCUUGCAUGAUUGAAAUCUUGAAGCAUGCAGGGAAUGGGUAUAAAAUACCCCAUGCGAACAAGGAAAGGCUAGAGAAACUUGGGAUGCUACCUCCAAGACUUACAUGCCCUCAAGAGGUAUAUGCAAAUGCCCUGCACAAUCUUGGGAUAAUGGAGAGAGUUGCUUGUUGA
rnacentral:rRNA from 1 species